rnacentral:tmRNA from 1 species
AAACGGCUUGCGUAAUAGCCGAUGCGGACCCGGGGGCAGUGCCCGGCGCCUCCACCAUCUUCCUCGAUGGGGGCGAACCAGGAUCGACGCGCGGGUAAAGGCAUGACUUUCGCUCGGCAUGGUUCCGCCGUUAUCGGGCCAAUCUAGAGAUGCCAACGACAACGUGGCUCUCGCUUCGGAAGCCCGUCUCGCGGCCUAACGGUCGCUUGACAGGUAACCUGUAGCGCGGCUCGGGGGGCGCCGGGCAACAGAAGCCCCCCACU